rnacentral:rRNA from 1 species
UAGCGUGAAGGAAGAAACAUCCGGAGCGUGAAGAGGUCUCAGAGAAUCGGUGGCUGCGACUGUUUACUAAAAACACAGCACUCUGCAAAGACGAAAGUCGACGUAUAGGGUGUGAUGCCUGCCCGGUGCUGGAAGAUUAAUUGAUGGGGUGCAAGCUCCUGAUCGAAGUCCCAGUAAACGGCGGCCGUAACUAUAACGGUCCUAAGGUAGCGAAAUUCCUUGUCGGGCAAGUUCCGACCUGCACGAAUGGCAUAACGAUGGCCACACUGUCUCCUCCUGAGACUCAGUGAAGUUGAAGUGUUUGUGAUGAUGCAAUCUCCCCGUCGACGCGGCC